GAUCCAAUUUUAGUUUUGGGGGAAUUAGAUUUCUCGCUCGAGCGAAAGAAGCAGCUUCUUUAAUCUCGUUCGGUUUUGAUGAUGGCAGGUACGCGGCGUCGUCGCCGGGUCGGAUGUCAGCGGUUACACCGCGGGCGUGCUGGCGCGGGCUCGGAACGAGGAGGGUGCCUCGACGGACAUGUUGGUGCAUGACUACGAGCAGGAGAUGGAGCGGGCGUGCUCCAGGGAGUUCCUGUGAGAGGAGAACCGCGUGCCAGCGUCCAGCACACGGUCGGUGGCCCACUUCAUCAUCUGCGGUGGCAGUGCCGUCCGCCGGGGUGCCUUCUGUGGCCGCGCCGCCGCCACCGACACCGCCGUGCAGCCAAUGAUGAUGUCGGCAUGUGGUGAAAAGGGGGGCCAAGUGAAAACUCGACCAAGCUAUAAAAAUUCGAACUAGAAUGGCAAAGAAGAAGUGAAAAGAAAACACAGAACAAAGGAUGAAUGCCGGAGAGCACUACUGUAUAUUUACCUCCAAAUAUGAUGGGAAGUGGUGUGCUUGUUUCUGUUUGCAUUGAUCGCACGGUGGCCACCACUUCACCACGCAUCUGACGACGACUGUUUUAUCCACGAGGUGGAGGAUAAGGUUGGAGAUUUGGGAUCAGAUGCUGCGCCAAGAACUUGGGACCAAAGUGCUAAACUAACAGUAGGGGGAGGGUAAUUCUUCAGAAAUCAAAGAAAGGUCAUUGGUAUAUCCCUAUCACCGACGAAGAUUUGCUAGAGAGGAAGAGGACCAAAAUGUUUUUUCUAUUGUUGGAGAUAUACAUAAUACAUAUAGAUAAAUUUGGACCAUUUAUAACAGAGAUUUCUUGCCCAAAAUAUUAACUCUGUCAAGCUGUGGGCACUGUCAAGGUAAUAACAGCCAAGAAUCAUAAAAGGAUGCACCUAAUGAGGGAGCUGUACAAAUUUGGAACAACUUCCAAAACAGGCAUUCAAGUAUUUUUGUCUGCUACCAGUAAGCUGCCAGAGCAAGAUAGCUGGGAUGUCGAGUCCCUAGGGCAAUGGUGAAUCACAAAUUGCUUGAUGUUCGAUGGGAAGCAUCAAACAAUACCAAUGUCGAGUAGUAAGAUCUGAUUGUUCAGCUGAUCAAGCCAAGAUAAGUGUUUGCACGAGGAGGGAGAAUGCCGGGAGCUGGAAUUCUGGGUUGAAAAAGGAG